GAAGUGCGAUAAGCAAUGCGAAUUGCAGAAUUCCGCGAAUCAUCAGAUCUUUGAACGCAAAUGGCGCCAGAGGGAUAUCCUUUUGGCAUGUCUGUUUCAGUGUCUGAGAGGUUUCACACUUAUCUUAAUGUGAUUGAUGGUUUCUGCUCUACUAUUAUAUAGCAAUAUUAAUAAUGGAGUGCGAAGCAUCUCUCAUGAAAGUUGCGCAAGUGGAUCUUUCGGUCCAAUGAAGUGGUCACAUCACUCGCAUGUGAUUUCAUUGGAAGCACCGAAUUAUCCGCAUACUUGCGGUUUCAUGCUGUGUUUGAGUGCAUCUUUUAGAUAUAUUCAGACAUCGCAAAACUCUCCACACCCUGCAUCUGAAAUAGGCAAGAUCACCCGCUGAACUUAA
rnacentral:misc_RNA from 1 species